rnacentral:tRNA from 1 species
UAAGCUUUAAGUUAUAUAAACUAAGAGCCUUCCAAGUUCUCCAAAAGAAAAUUUCUUAAGCUUAA